UACCAACAUGUGAGAAACACUGUACUUUAUUAAUGUUUCAAUGGAACCCACCAAAAUAAUUUAUUGAUUUAAUUUAAAAAAAUCUAUGUCCUCCAAAUAAAGGUUUCACAGUUAAUGGCACCUUUACAGAUUAUUGUAAGUAACAUCUACCAAAAUUAAACCAGGAAUUAAAUUCCACUUAUUGUAUUUAAGUAUAUCUAAGUCUUAAGGAACUAUAUUGAGUCAUUACAUCACUUCCUGUUUCACUAGGGUAUAAAAAGGAGGUAACAGGCAUGCAAUAUCCCUUUGACAUCCAACGCCAUGAAUAAAACAAAAGAACUGGCAGUUCAAAAGAGACAGAUGGUCGUAGACCUUCAUAAAUCUUGUAUGGCUACAAGAAGAUCCACAAACAAUUGAAUAUACCACUGAGCACUGUCAGGGCAAUUAUAAACCAAAUUCAAAAGAUAUGGAACAGUUGAAAACCUCACAUGUAGAGAACGCAAAUGCAUUUUGCCACCCACGAUAGGGAGGAGGAUGGUGAGAGAAGCAACAAAACCCCCAACAAUCACUGAAAGAAUUGCAGCCCUUUAUGACCCCAAGACACAGACGCAAGCAGUUGGAGUUUGCCAAACACCAUUUAAAUUAUGACUGGAAGAAGGUGUUCUGGUCAGAUGAGACCAAAAUUGAACGUUUUGGUCAGAUACAGCAUCGGCAUGUUUGGCGUCGAAACAGAGAUGCAUACAAGGAGAGGCCUCAUACCCACGGUGAAAUAUGGUGGUGGGUCAGUGAUGUUUUGGGGCUUUUUUAAUUCCAGAGGUCCAGGGGCACUUAUUAAGAUUGAUGGCAUAAUGAAUUCCACCAAGUAUCAGGCAAUUUUGGCUGAUAUGGUUCAGUGACAACAAAAUCAAUGUUUUGCCAUGGACAUCUCAGUCGCCGGACCUCAAUCCAUUUGAAAACUUCUGGCCUGAGUUGAAGAUGGCAGUUGAUAAGUGCAAACCCAAGAAUGUGUAACGGCUGUCUGAAGAGAGAGUAGACCAAGGUGCAGCGGAGUUAGUGUUCAUCUUGAAUUUUAAUAACCGUAAGAACACUAUACAACAAAAACAAGAAAACCGACAGCCAAACAGUACUGUCAGGUGCAAGACACUAAACAGAAACAAUCCCCCACAAAACCCAAAGGAAAAACAGGCUCCUUAUGUGUGACUCCCAAUCAGCAACAACGAACUACAGCUGUGCCUGAUUGGGAGCCACACACGGCCCAAAACAAAGAAAUAGAAAAACAUAGAAAAAUGAACAUAGAACGCCCACCCAAUGUAACACCCUGGCCUAACCAAAAAUAAAGAACAAAAACCCCUCUCUAUGGCCAGGGCAUUACAGAAUGUGAUGGAUCUUGAAAGGAUCUGCAUAGAGGAACGGUCCAAAAUCUCUCCAAAUGUGUUCCAUAACCUUGUCAAACAUUACAGGAAAAGACUCCAUGCUGUUAUCCUUGCCAGAGGUGGUUGCACUAAGUACGGAAUGAGGAGUGCCAAUAAUUAUGAAACCUUGAUUUUGGUGACAAUUAUUUUGUAUUAAAUAAUUGUAUGAUUUUGGUUGGUUCCAUUGAAACAUUAAUAAAGUUCAGUAUUUCUCACAUGUUGAUAUUUUGAGUUUCUCUAUAAUCAUAUUGUUUUAAUUUUUUUAAGUAUUGUUUGUGCAUUGCCAGGCAGGGGUGCCAGUAAUUUUGGAGCCCACUGUAGCUGCAACCACAUCGUUGUUUGUGUGGUUUAGGCUCGGACCACCGUUAUUUGUGUGGUUUAGGCCCGGACUCAGCAAAGCAUGCUGAGCAUCUGGUAAAUGCCUCUUAGGUCGCAAGAUGGGGCUUGGGCUGGUGUAUUAGUGGGGGUUGGGCCUAUUGCUCUGCUCACGGUUUGGGAAUACUGUAUUUGUGGCUGUCAUGUUGAGGACCUUGCAUACAUGAAGGGAAUGGUUAGUGAGAAAGUCCAUAUUGCAAAUGUACGCUCCCUUACUAGACGUCCGACUACGUCCGAUAAAUCCGCGGACGGCGUCGGGCCGCUCACAGGGUCCGGAUCUUCCAGGAAGUCAUCGAACGGAGUCUCUCGCACCUUCUGUUUCCGUUUAAUAACAUUUUCAAAUUUUGGUCAUUUCUUUGCAGUUCCGGAUUAUUCCACGGGAGGGCGAAUGGAAUCAUAUUGCAAACGUAACAUAUAUCACCAAUCACGACACGGCUUUUUCUCCUAAACGGAAAAGAAUUCGAAGACGAAACUAGGUCUGCGUGGGUUUGGC
rnacentral:lncRNA from 1 species